CCUACGGGAGGCAGCAGUAGGGAAUUUUCCGCAAUGCUCGAAAGCCUGACGCAGCAACGCCGCGUGAGUGACGAAGGCCUUCGGAUCGUAAAAUUCUGUUAUCAGGGAAGAACAAACGUGUAAGUAACUAUGCACGUCUUGACGGUACCUAUUUAGACAGCCACGGCUAACUCCGUGCCAGCAGCCGCGGUAAUACGGAGGUGGCAAGCGUUAUUCGGAGUGAUUGGGCGUAAAGAGCACGUAGGCGGUUUUGUAAGUCAGUAGUGAAAGACCAGGGCUCAACUGUAGAAGGGCAUGUGAUACUAGAAUACUUGAGUAGAAGAGAGGAUAGUAGAAUUCCUGGUGUAGCGGUGAAAUGCGUAGAGAUAAGGAGGAAUACCGUUAGCGAAGGCGGCUAUCUGGUCGGAAACUGACGCUGAUGUGCGAAAGCGUGGGGAGCAAACAGGAUUAGAUACCCGAGUAGUC
rnacentral:rRNA from 1 species